rnacentral:rRNA from 1 species
GAUGAACGCUGGCGGCGUGCUUAACACAUGCAAGUCGAACGAAGCGCUUAAACGGAUUUCUUCGGAAUGAAGUUUUUGCGACUGAGUGGCGGACGGGUGAGUAACGCGUGGGUAACCUGCCUCAUACAGGGGGAUAACAGUUAGAAAUGACUGCUAAUACCGCAUAAGCGCACAGUGCUGCAUGGCACAGUGUGAAAAACUCCGGUGGUAUGAGAUGGACCCGCGUCUGAUUAGCUAGUUGGUGAGGUAACGGCUCACCAAGGCGACGAUCAGUAGCCGACCUGAGAGGGUGAUCGGCCACAUUGGGACUGAGACACGGCCCAA